rnacentral:rRNA from 1 species
AUACGGAGGGUGCAAGUGUUAUUCGGAAUCACUGGGCGUAAAGGACGCGUAGGCGGGUUGGCAAGUCAGAUGUGAAAUCCUACAGCUUAACUGUAGAACUGCAUUUGAAACUGCUAACCUAGAGUAUGGGAGGGGGAGAUGGAAUUAGUGGUGUAGGGGUAAAAUCCGUAGAUAUCACUAGGAAUACCGAAAGCGAAGGCGAUCUCCUGGAACAUAACUGACGCUAAGGCGUGAAAGCGUGGGGAGCGAACAGGAUUAGAAACCCUAGUAGUCC